GUCAUGAUCCUACAGUUGUCAUCUAAGAGGGGGAGCCACUCUCCAAAGGCAGUCAUGAUCCUACAGACAUCUGAGUCCUCAGUUCAGUGAGAAUGCCAUCAGCUGAGAGAAGCACGACUGCUGCAGAAGCUAAGGUCUUACAGCCUCACCGGCCUGCAGACACAAACCAUGCGUGGCCUGACACCAUCCCAUUGGAGGAACUGUCCAGAUGUUUUUAGAGACAGACUUAGCAAACAAGCAUGAAAACCUCCCUGGGUUUCCUGAUGUCAUAAGAACUGACGAGACGACUGGUAAUUACAACUCACAGACCUGCAGAGCCAGGAGCACCUUUUAGCAUUCUCUCGCUUGGAUACUACGUUUGAUGGGUGUCUGCUCUGAAAACCAAAGAAAGAAGGCAGCACCGGUUUGAGAUCUUAGAGGUGUGUAUGUUUGUGGAGACAGGAAAUGAAGUGUGUUAAACACCCAGUAAAAUCUAAAGUAAAUUAGCGAGUUGGAAGGGAACUGCUGGGUUUAAAUUUUACUCUCUGAAUUUGCCUUAGCCCCUUAUUUCUAAUCCCACCAAAGGCACGCUCUACUAAACCGCAGUCCUCACAGUUCCGAAAAGACCUGUGCUUCCCACCAUCCCAAGGCCGGUCGAGGCCGUGCUGCCGGGAAGGAAAUGUGGUCAUUCUACUAUUAUCAGUGUGCCUGUUAUCAGAACAGAGUCACAGCCGUCAGUGACUGGCUCCCUAGGCCAUGCGUGCACACAAUGUGUGUGCACACAAUGGUCUCCGGUCAUGGGGCCAGGAGGCUCCUGUGAAGUUAAGAGGUAACUGGUCCUAAGAGGUGAUCCCACUGAAACAAGGAGGCAGGGAGCCUGAAUACAAAGGCCCUUCAGACGAAACGCCCUAGAAGUGAGACCAAAUGAGAUUUUCCUCACUCUAUACCCACCCACCCCUGCUCAGACUUGCCUUCCUGUUCCGGCAGGGUGGGUCCUGCUCAUCCACUGCUGGGUGAACACAGACCCAAAUUCCUUAGCAGCUAUUCACUCCCAGCCUGCCACUGGCUCUUCCCUGAUCCCGCCCACUUGCAUCACUCCACCCAGGCCAAAGAAUGGUCCCGGUUUACCUUCCCAAGCUCUGGCUCCUCCCCCUGCUGAUGUUUGACUCUGGAGGUUUCCAGUGUUGAAACUCCUUCUUAAUCCUGUUUACACCUCUUUACUCACUGAAAUCUUCCGUGCCAAGUAAGUGUCUCUCAGGUACUACUUCACAAAAGAAAAUACUUCAAUAGUAUUUCCCCAGAAGAGACCACGCCUGACCCUGAAGCCUCAAAUAACUCUCAAUUCCAGAAGACCAUUACAUCCUAACCGGCCUCCAUCUUGGCUAGUGCUUGAGGAGGGAAGACGAGUGAGCCGAAGACUAAACUACUCGGGCUCCUGGACCAGCACUCCAAGCCCUUACGGACAGAAGAGUGUGCUUAGUAACAACCCUCCCCAAUACGGCUGAAACUGAUACCGAAUCGUAAAAUUCCAGGAGUGAGGCUGAGACUCAGGAGGAUAUGAUGAAAUCCGGCUUCAAAUAUUACAACUUUCUUCCCUACUGCUGUCUCGUGGAAUCCUCCCCUCCACCACCCCGCCACCCCUCCUCCUAGUAGAAGAAGCUCUUUCCCACCCUACAGGCCACUGCCACAACCCAGCUCCUUCCUAAGUCCUUGGGGCCCUCAGUUUUUAGGGGCAGACAACUUGAAUGCUAGUGUUGCAGACUCAGUGACACUGCCUGGCAUCUCCUACUGACACUAAGACACAACCUGUGUCUACUUCACAGCCUACUUCCCAUCCCCUUUCAAACUUCUGAGUCCAGGAGCCUCUCUGCCCUACUUUGAAUAGGAAAAAAUAGUAGAAAGCUUUCAAAUGAUCCACCCCAGAAAAAGUCUUGCCGAUAAACAUGAACAAACCUUAAUUUUCUUUCAUUUUUUUAAAAAGAUUUGUCUUAUGUAUAUGAGUAUUUUGCUCAUAUGUAAGUCUGGGAACCAGCUAUGUGCCUGGAGCUGAUAAAGGUCAGAAGAGAGCAUCAGACACCCUGGGACCUGAGUCUCCUGCAAGAACAAAGGUUCAUAACUACAGAGCUGUCUCUCCAGCCCAUAACCUCAAUUUUCAAACCAUCAGAAAACAAGUCUGUCCUGUAAAGGGAGUUUGUACAGUUCUUCCUAGUAGCUGGACUUAAUUUUAUUCAUUGAUAAAUCAUGAAGAGAGGAAGUGGUUUGCAUACCUAGAGGUUAAGGAAAUAAUCAGCAUUUAAUAGUCACCAAUGAGUCAAACCCAUGAUGAUUUCUAAACUGAGUAUUUCAUGGGGCGCAACCACCUCCAUACAAAAUGACAGCCUACUGCCCACACUGACCAUCUACCUACAUAUGGAGUAACAGCCUACUGUCCUCAGUGACCAUCUACAUAUGAAAUGGCCUACUGUCCGCACUGACUGUCUACAUAUAAAAUGACCGCCUACUGUCUGCACUGACUAAUAGCAGCAAAUGGGGACAGAAGGAAAAUCAAAGUUCUAUCUUCCUAGGGGUGAGUGUUUUCUUAGGAUUGAAGAGAAAAAACACCUCCUACAACUAUGUCUGUGAGGAAGAAGUUACGUUUAGAUUGCUUUUGCCUCGUGGAGGUCAUACACAUGCAUCCAUUUCAGAAGUGUCAAAGGAGCACCUUAAUCAUAACAUUCUAUUUACAAUAGCCCCACCCUGAAAGCUAUACACUACUGAUCCCAACUGAUGGGAGGCAGCUUAGCAACAGAGCACACAUCUCAGAUGGCGGAGGCCUUAGGAUCAAUCCCCGGUACAUGAAGCUCUUUCUCUUUAGCCUUCAAGUCUCAGGAGAAGACCACCAACAUACUUUAUCAUCUGGGGAUCAACUACAAUGUCUGUUAUACAUAACAAAACCUUCCUGUGGCCUUCUGUGUCUUCGACUAACUCAAGAGUACACUCAAACAAACACAAAGUUUCUAUAUGCGAAUUUCCCAGAAUUUCUUCUUUCCUGCUUGCAAACUUGUUGGACACUCUGGGCAAGCCAUAACUAGUUCUAUAUUGGGCAUCUCUGACAGAGCAGGCAUGUUGGAGUUAGAUAUCAGUUGUGAUGAGCACACUGAGAUUUAGAAGCUCAUUCCAGUCAUUUGAUCUCAAGACCUACUACACACAGCUCUCCCAAAGCAGAUUCCACAGCCUCAGUUCUUGGUGACGUAAGGAGAGCUCUUUUUGCUGACAGCCACUGCCACAAUAUUCUCUCAGGAGUAGCUGACUGGCCAACCACAAAGAAAGAACACUCUUCUGGAAAUGCCCUUGUUCCAGCACAUGACACAAUCUAUGUGCCACAUCAAAAAUGCCACCAGAACGUCCCAGAUGAUGUCAUACCUCAAUGAAGUCAUGACAAAUCACACUCCUCAUGAUCAGGAUUAACACACCCAAAACUUGAUCCUUUAACCAUACUGUACAGACAACAAAAAGAACAAUAAUUUCAGAGUCAAAUCUAUCGAUGCACACACCCUACACACUGCAAAAUGAAUUUUCUAAUCCAGUCAGCACAGGACUUUACAGGACAAUGAAAAAGGGAAGGGAAAGGAAGG